rnacentral:rRNA from 1 species
UACGGAGGGUGCGAGCGUUGUCCGGAAUUAUUGGGCGUAAAGAGCUCGUAGGCGGUCUGUCGCGUCUGCUGUGAAAACUCAGGGCUUAACCCUGAGCUUGCAGUGGGUACGGGCAGACUAGAGUGCGGUAGGGGAGACUGGAAUUCCUGGUGUAGCGGUGAAAUGCGCAGAUAUCAGGAGGAACACCGGUGGCGAAGGCGGGUCUCUGGGCCGUAACUGACGCUGAGGAGCGAAAGCAUGGGGAGCGAACAGG